rnacentral:rRNA from 1 species
AACGAACGCUGGCGGCGUGGAUAAGACAUGCAAGUCGGACGGGAUUUUCCGUUGUAGCAAUACGAUGGAAAGUCUAGUGGCGAACGGGUGCUUAACACGUGGGCAACCUGCCAGGAAGUGGGGGAUAGCUCGCCGAAAGGCGAAUUAAUACCGCAUGUGAUUAGAGAGGACAUCCUUUCGAAAUUAAAGUCGGGGCAACCUGACGCUUCUUGUGGGGCCCGCGGCCUAUCAGCUAGUUGGUGAGGUAAUGGCUCACCAAGGCUUUGACGGGUAGCUGGUCUGAGAGGACGACCAGCCACACUGGGACUGAGACACGGCCCAGACACCUACGGGUGGCAGCAGUCGAGAAUUGUUGACAAUGGGGGAAACCCUGAUCGAGCGACGCCGCGUGGAGGAUGAAGGUCUUCGGAUUGUAAACUCCUGUCAUUGGGGAACAAGGUGCAUACGUUAACUGCGUGUGCAUUGAUAGUACCCGAAGAGGAAGAGACGGCUAACUCUGUGCCAGCCGCCGCGGUAAAAC